UACGUAGGUGGCAAGCGUUGUCCGGAUUUACUGGGCGUAAAGAGCGCGCAGGCGGUCGUUCAAGUCGCGUGUGAAAGCCCCCGGCUCAACUGGGGAGGGUCACGCGAUACUGAUCGACUCGAAGGCAGGAGAGGGUAGUGGAAUUCCCGGUGUAGUGGUGAAAUGCGUAGAUAUCGGAAGGAACACCAGUGGCGAAAGCGGCUUCCUGGUCCAGCACCGACGUUCAGGCACGAAAGCGUGGGGAGCAAACAGG
rnacentral:rRNA from 1 species